UACAGAGGUCCCAAGCGUUGUUCGGAUUCAUUGGGCGUAAAGGGUGCGUAGGCGGCGCGGUAAGUCGGGUGUGAAAUCUUGGAGCUUAACUCCGAAACUGCAUUCGAUACUGCCGUGCUUGAGGACUGGAGAGGAGACUGGAGUUUACGGUGUAGCGGUGAAAUGCGUAGAUAUCGUAAGGAAGACCAGUGGCGAAGGCGGGUCUCUGGACAGUUCCUGACGCUGAGGCACGAAGGCCAGGGGAGCAAACGGG
rnacentral:rRNA from 1 species